rnacentral:ncRNA from 1 species
CCUGCGUGACUGGCGAGAAUAAGGUGGAGACGACCACCGUGGAGCGCAGGGCCCCGUUCGCGCCGCUCGCCUGGGCACCCCU